GCCAGCGUGGCGUCGUGGUUUGAGCCUUGGACUCGGACUCUGGAGAGCAGGGUUCGAAUCCCGGCUGGGCCA